UACGGAGGGUGCAAGCGUUAAUCGGAAUUACUGGGCGUAAAGCGCACGCAGGUGGUUUGUUAAGUCUGAUGUGAAAUCCCCGGGCUCAACCUGGGAACUGCAUUGGAUACUGGCAGGCUAGAGUGUGGUAGAGGAGGGUGGAAUUCCCGGUGUAGCGGUGAAAUGCGUAGAGAUCUGGAGGAAUAUCGGUGGCGAAGGCGGCCCCCUGGACGAAGACUGACGCUGAGGCGCGAAAGCGUGGGGAGCAAACAGG
rnacentral:rRNA from 1 species